rnacentral:misc_RNA from 1 species
GACGAAGAACGUAGCGAAAUGCGAUAAGUAAUGCGAAUUGCAGAAUUCAGUGAAUCAUCGAAUCUUUGAACGCACAUUGCGCCCAUUAGUAUUCUAGUGGGCAUGCCUGUUCGAGCGUCAUUAAUUCCACUUAAGCCCUGCUUAGUGUUGGGAAUCUACUCUAGUGGUGCUACCCUGGAGCUACCCCUGAAAGGGGGCUGGCCCGGUAGCUACCCUGUAGUUCCUCAAAGAUAGUGCGCGGAGUUGCGUGGUCCUCUGAGCUUAGUAACUAUACACCUAGCUUUUGAGUGUCCCGCGGCGCCUGCCGUUUAAACCCCAUCUUUUAAUGGUUGACCUCGGAUCAGGUAGGAAUACCCGCUGAACUUAAGCAUAUCAAUAAGCGGAGGA